CAAGUCGAACGCGAAAGUCCCGCAAGGGAUCAGUAGAGUGGCAAACGGGUGAGUAACACGUGGGUGACCUGCCUUCGAGUGGGGGAUAACGUCCCGAAAGGGACGCUAAUACCGCAUGACAUCCUGCCUUUGAAGAGGUGGAGCUUAAAGCUGGGGAUCGCAAGACCUAGCGCUUGAAGAGGGGCCCGCGUCUGAUUAGCUAGUUGGUGAGGUAACGGCUCACCAAGGCAACGAUCAGUAUCCGGCCUGAGAGGGCGGACGGACACACUGGGACUGAGACACGGCCCAGACUCCUACGGGAGGCAGCAGUGGGGAAUUGUUCGCAAUGGGCGCAAGCCUGACGACGCAACGCCGCGUGGAGGAUGAAGAUCUUCGGGUCGUAAACUCCUUUCGAUCGAGACGAACGGCCCCUGGGCUAAUCACCAGGGGAGUGACGGUACCGAGAGAAGAAGCCCCGGCUAACUCCGUGCCAGCAGCCGCGGUAAUACGGGGGGGGCAAGCGUUGUUCGGAAUUACUGGGCGUAAAGGGCUCGUAGGUGGCCAACUAAGUCAUACGUGAAAUCCCUCGGCUUAACCGGGGAACUGCGUCUGAUACUGGAUGGCUUGAGGUUGGGAGAGGGAUGCGGAAUUCCAGGUGUAGCGGUGAAAUGCGUAGAUAUCUGGAGGAACACCGGUGGCGAAGGCGGCAUCCUGGACCAAUUCUGACACUGAGGAGCGAAAGCCAGGGGAGCAAACGGGAUUAGAUACCCCGGUAGUCCUGGCCCUAAACGAUGAAUGCUUGGUGUGGCGGGUAUCGAUCCCUGCCGUGCCGAAGCUAACGCAUUAAGCAUUCCGCCCGGGGAGUACGGUCGCAGGCUGAAACUCAAAGGAAUUGACGGGGGCCCCCACAACCGUGGAACA
rnacentral:rRNA from 1 species